CCUACGGGAGGCUGCAGUGAGGAAUAUUGGUCAAUGGGCGCGAGCCUGAACCAGCCAAGUAGCGUGAAGGAAGAAGGGUUUCGGCUCGUACACUUCUAUUAACAGGGACGAAAGAAAUGACGGUACCUGAAUAAGAAGCCCCGGCUAACUACGUGCCAGCAGCCGCGGUAAUACGUAGGGGGCAAGCGUUAUCCGGAAUUACUGGGUGUAAAGGGUGAGUAGGCGGCAUGGUAAGCCAGAUGUGAACGCCUUGGGCUUAACCCGAGGAUUGCAUUUGGAACUAUCAAGCUAGAGUACAGGAGAGGAAAGCGGAAUUCCUAGUGUAGCGGUGAAAUGCGUAGAUAUUAGGAAGAACACCAGUGGCGAAGGCGGCUUUCUGGACUGAAACUGACGCUGAGGCACGAAAGCGUGGGGAGCGAACAGGAUUAGAUACCCCUGUAGUC
rnacentral:rRNA from 1 species